rnacentral:lncRNA from 1 species
UAGAAACUUGUUAGCACGUCUGUAGAGCUCUUCCUUUCGUGUCGCCUUUUGCUUCUGAAGUGCUGCUGCAGUUGACAUUCUGGCAGCCCCUGCUUUGCGAGGCCCAAACCAGUGUGUGACUGAAACCGCUGGGCCACAAGUGAGAGCUGAGCGAAACGCCGCCGGGUUCCUUCCACAGAGACACAUCUCCGCUGUGCCUGUGGUGCUCAGCCCCAGAACCCCGCACAGCACAGAGGCGGCCGUGAGGGAACAGCAGCAUCGCGCCGUGAGGAUCACUGCUUCACAGCACAGAGGUGGCCUCAGAAGGCUGAGAAGUGUCAGAAGUGCAGCUCAUAGAGAGGAGUGCACAGCUGGGUAAGGCCGGCUGGAACAGGCUGGAAAACAGCCUCUUUCUUCCCAAAACACUGCAAAAAAGGAACACGUCCUUCGGGUAUCAGGUUUAUCAGCAACAGGCUCCGCUCCAUGUGCUCGGGAAAGACUAAUGCUGCAAUGCCCGUGCUGCAGAGUGACUUUGCGGGGUGGAAGGACGGAGAGCACAGACAUGCAGUCCUGGGUGUCCCAUGGGAGUAGGCUGCAUUGCCCAGCCCCUGCCUGGGUGCCCUGAGCUAGGAGGAUCUCACCAUCACUGGGACCCUUACCAGAGGCACAGGAGGACACAGAGGACAAUAAGAAUAUUUUGUCUGUGCACCCAGGAGGCAGGGCUGGCUCCUGCACCUUUUCCAGCUGCUUUACUCCAGGUUCCCUCUAGAGAAAUAAAUCCU